UGACUCAGACUAGCCUAUCCAGGGUCAUGUCCUCGGUAAGCUGAAGUUGAUCCAUGUCAUAUUUAAUCACCUCCUUUCAAUAUUUCUUCGCUCUAACUCUACCUCGCUUAAAAUCAUUCCUAACCAAUUUCUUACACCUCGACAUUGAGGCAUUCAUGCUCCUCCGCAUCAUAUGACCGAACUAUUUCACCCACGCUUCCCUCAUCUUAUACGUCCUCCACUACUAAAGUUAUCCGGUGUACAUGUUCUUAAAAAGUUAGAAUAUUUACUUAUUAGCUGCGGUCAAAUCCUAAAGUUUGAUUCUUUCAUUUGGGCUAUUUGUUCAAUAUUUAACAACUAGCUACUCACUGGUGACUCAUCGGGGGCAGAUACUUUCAAUAUUUAUGCAUUAUUAUAUCAGUAUCACGUGUAAUACACGCACUUUGUCUAAAAGGUGUCAAAAUAAUAUAUAUUAUGAUUAUUUAUGGUGUCAAAAAUGAGCGACAUCACUUUGUCAAUUCAGUAAAAAAUAUCAAAAUAACACACAUUAUGGCUAUCUGAGGUGUAAAAAAUGAGCGAUCACUUUGCCAAUUUAACAAAAGUUGUCAAAAUAACACAUUAUAGCUACAUGUAAAAAAUGAGUAAUGUCACUUAAGGUGGUGAAAGAUGACACUUACUUAAAGCGUGCUAUAAGUAUUAUAUUUGUCCAAACAUUUAAUAACUACCCUUUCACUCUCAACUCAAUCACCAGCAAAACCCAAAAAUCUAUGGCACAAUUGUUGAGCCUAAGAGUUUCAACCCCAUCAUCACCACCCCGCCACCCCACCACCACCGCAUCUUUAACAAGGCCUGCCGUCCUUACUACAAGAAACAGCUUCACUUAUUUACAACACAAACUCCAAUGCAAUGGCAGAUUUUCUUGCCUCUUCUCUCAUAAUCGUAACAAACAGGUAAUACUACUAAGUUUUAACUUCUUGAAAAUUUUAAAAUUCCUAGUUUUUAUGGUGUUUUUGGGAGAGAGAAAAAGUGGGUGUCUUUUAGAUUAUCAAGAAAAUAUGUUUAAAGAAUGAUUUGAUUUUGCAUAUGCAAAUUCAAUCUGCUGAUUUAUCAUAGUGUUUGUACUUGUCCUUUUUUUCUAAUAAGGAGAUACAAAUAUUUCAUUUUUUUUAGAGUUAAAUGGUGAAAAAACAUGUAAAGUAUCCCUUAGUUUCAUAAUUAGAGUUGAAUAGUGAUAUUUCAGGUAGAAAGCUGAACAAUUGAUAGUUGUUGUGUGUUUUGAUGAAUAAUUGGUGAUAGUAUCAGGAUACUUUUAAGUGUAUCUUUGACCCUACACUGUUUUCUUUUUUUGUCAUCGUGUGUCUGGGCCAGUUUGCACGCACCUCGGCUGAUUCCGGGAGAUACUUUUUACCUUACACCAAUACAAGUACCAGGCAUAUGGAAAGAUAUCACCUGGUGUUUUGCCUCAGCUGGAAUUUGAACCUGAAACCUAAUGGAUCAUGGUUCUUGACCCUACCACUAGAUGUGAUAAAGUUAUCAACUUGGAUGUUGUUUUUUGAUUACUCCGAUAAAGGAACACACGAGCAAAUGUUUAUACUUGUGCAAGUGUGUGAGUGAAGGUGAACAAACUGUUUUCACUAGUUCCUAUCUAGCAAGGGUUGGAUAGAUAGAAAGAUAUCACUUGGUGUCUUGCCUCAACUGGAAUUUGAACCUGAAACCUCAUGGAUCGUGGUUCUUGACCCUACCACUAGAUGUGAUGAAGUUAUCAACUUGGGCAUUGUUUUUUGCUUACUCCAAUAAAGGAACAGACGAGCAAAUGUUUACACUUGUAUGAGUGUGUAAGUGAAGGUGAAAAGGUGGUUUUCACUAGUUCUUUGUGUUAGCAUAGAAAGAGUUGUAUGGCGUGUAAACAAUUUCAUGAGAUUCUGCUUGUGUGCUUAUUCAUAACGACAGUGUCCUGGAGUCCUUAGGUAGAACUUCUAUCACAUUUCAGCGGCAGGAGUAUUGCAUUAUACGGACUCUCCUAUGGCAUGGUAAUUUAACUAUGCCUAUUCUAUCAUCAGUCCGAAACUUAAAAGUAUCCUAGAUAAUACUAUUUAGUUUGAUUUUGCAUACACCACUGGUUAAAUCGAGGACUAGAAGAAAAGAGGGUAUUAAAUAACAAAGGGGUUUUAUGUUUUGCGUUUGUUUUUGGUUUGUUUUUAUUCCUACUGAUUCAUCAGAGAGUUUGUACUUGUGGGUUGUGUUUAGCAAGGAGAUAAGAUGUGAUAAAGCUAUCAAGUUGUGUACCAUGUUUGCUAACUCCAAAAAAGGAACACCGGAGAAAAUGUUUGCACUUGCGUGAGUGAACAAAUUGUUUUCACUAGUUCUUGGUGUGAGCUUGGGCUAGAAAGAGAAUUGUAUGGUGCUAUAUUGCUCGGUCUCUUCAAAAAUGUCAGCGGGUGCGUGUCAGAUUCUCCAAAAGUAGUGUAUUUUUGGAGAAUCCGACACGAAUGCGGCAUCGAAAGUGAAGAGUCCGCACAACUUAGGUAUGGUGUGUAAACAGUUUCAUGAGAUUCUGCUAGAGUGUUUAUUCACAAGAUAGUGUCUAGGAGUCCAUAGGUAGAACCUCUAGCACGCUUCAGGCAUGAGUAUUGCACCCUAUCUAGUGACUCUCUCUCCUACUGCAUACUAAUUUAGUCGUGCCUAUUCCGAAUCCAUAUGAAACUGGGGAAAAGCAGAUUGUUUGAUCGAUUUGAUCUAGCUUUCAUGAAGAUUUCUAUACAUUAGCGUUCUUAGAUACUCAAGUUUAUUUCCAGAGAUUUCACUUGAAAUGUACCAGGCGCUGGGCUUGUGAAUCCCGUCAGUAAAGGAGUGCAACUUAUAUUGUGUGCUUUGCCAUAGGAUUAUAUUUACGAGGUUUCUUCAUCUAUGCUUAACUUUAUAUACUUAAGGGUACCUAUCUCAUUUCUAGGUCAUGCGCGGUUUCAGACUCGGGCAUUAUCUCAUUUGGAUUAUGUACCUCGGUAGUGACUUCUUGACUUAUCAAAUAGAAAAAAAUGACCUUGGUAAUGUUGCAAUAUCUUGGUGAAAACAAGAGCUGCACAGAAGUUUUCUCUAGUUUAACCGUAUUUGGGAACAGGUCGAGGCUUCUAUUAAGGUGGCUCUACGUGAAACAUAUGAAGUGAAAGUUUCCUUUUUUCUAUCAUGCGCCUUCCGAUUUUCUGUCAGGUCAUUUACUUAUCUGUGUUGUGCCCUUUCAUAUAAACAGGACGAGGCUAGAAAAGCUUUAGAAAGUGCUUUGGGAGGAAAGAAAAAUGAGUUCGAGAAAUGGGAUAAAGAAAUUAAACGAAGGGAGGAAGCCGGCGGAGGAGACAAUUCAGGCGGAGGCGGUUGGUUUAAUUGGCGUAGAUGGUUUGGUGGCGACGAUGGCCAUUUUUGGCAGGAAGCUCAACAAGCAACCCUUGCUAUUUUGGGUAUUCUUGUCAUGGUAAGCAAUUGUAUAAGCUUUCUAUAUAGCAGUUGAUCGAUAUGGUUGUUACCUACUUCAACUCGUCUCUCAUUCAUCAUUUGCAUAAGCUUCUACCGCACUAGCCUGUUUUACGUAACAGUUUUUUUUAGUCUCUUCCAAAAAGAACGACACCUUUCUAUAUUUAGUAUUCCACUUCAAACUUCUCACCAUGUAACGUUAUUCCACACUUCCACUUUGCUCUUAUUCAUCGAUACAUCAUGUUUAAAUUUGCAGUACUUGAUAGUUGCAAAAGGAGAUGUUAUACUUGCUGUCAUAUUCAACCCUCUGCUGUUCACUCUACGCGGAGCGAGGAACGGUUUUACCUUUGUAACAUCGAAGAUUACGAGAAAGCUAUAUCCUGCUAGCCAAGACAGCUUUGGUACCAUUUCUCCGGAGGAAGUUCCUUCUCGCGCUUCUGCCAAAGACAGCGUCGCAAGAAAAUGGGGAAGCGAUUAAUCGCUCGUCGCUAGCAAAUAUUUUUCUUCACCUUGUAUUCUAAUGUUGUUAGUGUUUUUGGUUAGCUUGCUUUUCAUUUUGAGAGAUCAUUAGGGAGUUCUUGGCUAUGUAUUAGGUGAAAAUUAUUGUUUCAUAAGCUUCAUGUUGAUUUGAUGUUUAACAUUUGAAAUGGAAAUAUGCAAAGUUUUGUUAUGCAUUGUGCCAUCAUGUUACUAAGGGGCCGUUUGGUUGGGAAACUAGUUAUCCUGGGAUUAACUGUCUCGGGAUUAGUUGUCGAUAAAAAUAACACUACAAUUCCGGGAUAACUAAUCCCUGGAUGAGUUAUCUCAUGCAUCUUAUCCCAACCAAACAUGGAAUAAGUUCAUCCUAAAAUUAAUACCGAAAUUAGUUAUCCCUUAUCCUUCCUACCAAACGACUCCUAAAAGUCAUCAGACGUUUGUAGCAGCAUAAGGAGGAUGGACCCUUUUCGAGGUACACAAUAAGUUCGAUAUAUAGGAGGUUGGUCUUUUCAAAGAGGUGUAUGCAACAUGAAAAACCUUUCGAUAUAAGAUACGACGUUUGUAGCAAGAUAUGGACGGACCCCUUUGGAGGAAUAAGUACGAUAUAUAGCAAGUUGGUCUUUUCAAAGAGGUGUAUGUAACGCAAAAAACCUUUCGAUAAAAGAUAGGACGUUUGUAGUAACAUAAGGACGGACCCCUUUCGAGGUACAAAAUAAGUACGAUACAUAGGAGAUUGGUCUUUUUAAUGAGGUGUAUACAACACGAAAAACCUUUCGAUAUAAGAUAGGACGUUUGUAGCAACAUAAGGACGGACCCCUUUCGAGGUACAAAUAAAUACGGUACAUAGGGGGUUGGUCUUUUUAACGAGAUGUAUAUAGCACGAAAAACCUUUUGAUACAAGAUAGGACAUUUGUAGCAGCAUAAGGAGGACGGACCUCUUUCGAGGUACGAAAUAAGUACGAUACAUAAAAGGUUAGCAUAAGGAGGACGGACCUCUUUCAAGGUACAAAAUAAGUACGAUACAUAGGAGGUUGGUCUUUUUAACGAGGUGUAUACAGCACGAAAAACCUUUUGAUACAAGAUAUGACGUUUGUAGCAGAAUAAGGAGGACGGACCUCUUUCGAGGUACGAAAUAAGUACGAUACAUAGGAGGUUGGUCUUUUUAACGAGAUGUAUGCAGCACGAAAAACCUUUCGAUACAAGAUAUGACGUUUGUAGCAGCAUAAGGAGGACGGACCCCUUUCGAGGUACAAAAUAAGUACGAUACAUAGGAGGUUGGUCUUUUUAACGAGAUAUAUACAACAAGAAGAACCUACAAGAUAGGACUGUUCAUGUAGAAAGUAGUACUUAGUUAAAAAUUGUUUACUAUUAUUAUUAUAUAAAAUUUCAUGUAAUUAUUGUAUUUUUGUAUUCAAUUAAUAAGCAUAAAGCAUGUAACGAACAUUAUUUUACUAGUACAUAUAGAUCAAAGGUAAAACUAAUUAACACGUAAUUAUCAUUACGGAAAAUAGCUAUAAUUUGAAUGGGUUAAUGGUAAUAAUGAUUAUCCCCAUUAACCACAACAUUAUACUAAUUUUAAACUUGUCAUGUCUAUGAUAUUUCUUUGACCACUAACAACAUAUAUAAUCCACCAUCAUUAGCAAUAAUAAAAAAGCAAAAUAAAGUUUCUUGUGUAUGAUGAGACUAUGGAUAAAAUUCUUUCAUUUUUAAUUUAAUCGAAAGUCUUUAUAUUUGAGCUUUGGAUAUAAAAUAAUUUUUUUCGUAAAUAGCAACUUUUCUAUAAUUGGAUUUUAUGUGACACGAAUUAGAUUAUUGAAACUCCAAGGGAUCAUUUGGGUGGUCAAAUGGGCAAAACGGUAAGAGCGGGUCGUUUUCAGCCAAAUCAAUGGGUGUGUUAGCUCACGGUUCUCGGGGUGGGUCCGAAGCUCGGAUGUGUUUUGGGUCGAAAAUCGACCGGCGGUCCCCAGACGGGCUGAGGAGCGGGGAGGGUGGGCCAGUUGGGUCGGCGGGGCCGUUUGGGUGGUCAGACAAGCGAAAUGACAAACGAGCCCUUUUCGGGCCAAAUCGGUGGGUGUUAGCCUACGAUUCUCAGGGUGGGCCCGGAGCCAGGGUGUGUUUUGGGUCGAAAAUCGACCGAUGGCUCCCAGGCAGGAUGAGGAGCGAGAGAGGAUGCACCGACCGGGCCGUUUGCGUGGUCAAACAAAAUUAGUUCUGAAACUGAAUGAAAAACUUAUUAAAAAAAUGAAUUUCUAGACUUUCACCACCAAUCGAAAAAUGUGGUGUAACAAUAAAAUUCCUCUAUCCUUAAUCAAUAGUCUCCAGUCAAGGUCCUUGUUAUAAGUAAAGAUUCAAUAAUGAACGUGUUUCCCUUAAAUGUUUCUUACGUAAUAUAAAUUCGGAUUAAUCGUGAUUUCAAUACAUAUACCGAACAUAAAAAUCCUAAAACAAAAGCUUUCACAAUUAUCAUGAAUCAUAAUUAAUAUUCCUCUAGAACUUUAACUAAUCAUGUUAAUAAUUACAUUUAAAUUGAUGGGAAUAUACCAGAAAAAUCAUGAUAACAUAUUAAAACAUAUCAAAAUAAAUUCUAAGGCCCCAUUAAUUAUUACAAUCAGGUAAAAAACUAAUUAUCGGUAGGAGAUUACAAUAUUUCAUCAAUUUAAUUAAGGUAUAUAAAAAUUAACUCGAACACCACGAUUAUUAUUAAAUGAAAAGCUACUUGUUUUUUCAUCAUAUUUUUCUACGACAUUUAUCCUACCUAGCUAAUGAUUUUUUUUUUUGGGGCAACAACAACGACAUAGUUAAAUAAUAAAUUGCUUCACAAGUUAUUUCACUUGAAAUUAUCCAUUGAAGUGUGUAUGAAUUGAUAUUGUAGAAUAUUAAAGGAGAAAUAUACCACCAAUUAUAGAAAUUUGUCAGUAAAUUUUAUUUAGAUACUACUCAAAUUACGAUUAAUUUAGAUUGAGCUCAUAAACACAUACUAUGCAUCUCAAAAAGUUUCUAUGCAUAUUUCCAAGAAUCCAUUACGUAAAUGAGUUUACUACUUAAAAUAUACACAGACUUUUACGUAGAUUUUAUAUUUAUGUCGUGAAAUUUGUUAAAUAUAUAAAACUAUUUAUUGAAACUAUAUACGGAACGAAAAUAUGUAUGCAAUAUGUCAUGUAACAACAACAACAAUAAUAAUUAAAUGUUUUUUUUAAUUACAAAAAAUGCAGUAAAUAAAUUCAAUAUAAUAAUUAAAUGUUGGUGCAUAUAAAAUCUUUUUUUUUUUAUUUGGUGGAACAUAUAAAAUCUUUAAAACACGUUCAUGGAUAUGUCAGGGUCAAUAAUAAAUUCUCUGAAGUCAUUUAUGUUGAUUCACGUGAAAAUAAUAAAUUACUAUGAUCAUAAAUGUUAAAUCUAAAUUUUUUAACUACAAUCAAUUGAAAGUAGUAACAUUUUUGAGUCAUUAGUCCAUGUCAUUUCAUAUUAAUACACCUUUCUAUUUGUUCAAAACUGAAAUUCAUUACCCAAAAAAAAAUUAAAAAGAAAAACUUUAUUUUGCAUUUUAAAAAUGUUAUUUCUCCUUCCAUAACAAUUUAAAUCAAACUACCAAUAUUGCUGUUGAUGAAUAGUGCUUUUAUUAAUCAUGGAUGAAUUUUAGAAAAUUUAAGAAAUAAAAACAACUAAAUAAAUAAAUAAAUAAAUUAUAAACCAUCUACUAAUACAAACGUGACUUUAUGUAUUAUUGCCCUAUUAACAACUUACUUGAAUUUUUUUUUGUUUUUCAAAAAAACAAGAACAAGAAGAAAGAUUUCACCCCCUUUUUUUUUUUUUUUUUGUUGUUGAUAGAGCUAAUUAUUUGUAAUAUUUGCAAAUUCAUAGUAAUACCUAAGUCAAAUAUAACUCUAUCAUUUUAUAUAAUUAAGAUUACUUACCAUGAAUAACCAAAGGUUUGAGAUUCGAUCUUUGAAUAUGAAAAAAAAAUCCAGAGGAAAAUAUUUUUCUCUUUCAUAGACAAGCUACAUUAAUCUAGAUUAUUAGUCAACAUCUCAAUGCGCAUACCGAUAACCGAUCUAAGGAUGAAAAAUCAACAAAAUGGCUCGGGUACGCGAAGGACUACCAGUUUCUUGUGAUAAAAUGAAUAAGAUUCCUCUCUCUAUCAUUAACCAAAUAUUCACGUUCGUUCUAGAAAAUGGAAAAAGAAAUAUCUUAGCAAGAGUUUGACACGAUUUAGAUUAGUCAUAAAUCUAAUGUGCGUAUCGAAAACUAAGUGAAAAACUUAUACAGAGAAUUUGGGUAUAAAAAGACUACCAAGGUUAUAGUCGUAUGAUACGAUUAAUUUAUCCAUCCUUAACGAAAGAUCUCGUAUUUAACUCCGAAUAUAAAUUAUUUAAUUAAUAUUCUCAAAAAAAUAAAUUAUUUAAUUAAUUUAUAGAAGAGAAUAAUUGUCCAUUGAGAAUCUCUCUCUUCCACCCUAUCCUAAGCUGUCUUCUAAGUCAUGGCCUUCAUGAUCUCUCCACCAAUCUUCAUCUCUUAUAUAUAUAUAUAUAUAUUAUACAAUCGUCUGGUAUACAAAAUAAAUUAUCUCGAUAUUUAUAAAAAUUUUAAACUAAUUUAUUUCACGUUCUAGAUAAAGUAACUUUAAGUUUGAGUCAGCCUUUUACUAGGAGUUCGUUCGAAUCUCUUUCGGCAGAAAAUUUACAGAUAUAUUUUAGAUAUUGAAUUUCCUUUAACUAGUUUUUCUUUAAAUUUUGAACUCCCUCGAUGAAAAUUCUGACUCUGCCUCUGGUUUGAGGGGAUAAUGUUGAGACAUUUGAUUAAAUUUGUGCUUAGAUUUAUAUCGUAUUCGAUUAAAUGAUAAAUUUAUGCUUAUAAUCUAUGUUGCUCGAACUCUUCAAAAAUGUUAAUGACUGUGACACUGCGUGUUGGAUCUUAUUUGUUAUUGACACAUCUUAUUCGUUCGAGCAACUUAGACUAUAAAUCUUAUUUCAAAGAUCAAAUUUAAUUAUGGCAUAUCUCACCUUGUCGCGCGUACCAAAACAACUUCAUUAUCGGUGUCGGAUUCGCCAAAAGUAUCGUAUUUUUGGAGAAUGCGACAUGAACGUGGAUCAAAAGUGAAGAUUUCUGUCCUUCGGGAUUGGCUCACUAGUUUGGAGAGUGAUAGCCCACCACAACUGUCCGGGAUCGAAUCCCCCCUCAAUGCCUUUGAGCCAUGAGUCUGUCACACAGGACUUGCCUAGUGCAGUUUACAUCCCGUAUGAUUUGCAGGUUAUUGCAUCGGGGGUUUACCCAGUACGCACACAAUGCUCACCACAGAGUGCUCACUCGAAGGGUAGAGGUUGUGGCAAAGGGUGUAGCGGCUGCGGAUUUUCCUAGAAAGUUUCCAAAAAAAAUGUAAAGAUUCCGUACAACUUGGAUUAUAAAUCUAAUUCUAAAGAUCUUAAUUAUGAUAUAUCUCACCUUAUUCCGCAUACCAAAGCGAAUUCAUUAUUAAUCAUUUUUUCAAUUUAAUUCUCACAAUAUUUGGAUCACCACUAGACCACUUCCAUUUUGUACCUCAAAAAGUACCAAAUCCCCUCCUUAUUUUUCUCUGUUUUUUCUUGGUAGUCUUUUUCUUCUUACCAUUCUUGUAAUAAUAAUAGUAAUAUUUUCAUGGUAUUUCUUUUUUUUAGAAUCCUUUUGACCAUUUUCUCACAACCCAAACAUAAUAUUUAUUUUUUUUAAAUUAUAUUUUUUAACAAUGAUACAAAAAAGUUCUUGAUUUUUUUUUAUAAAGGGUGUUUCUUUUUAGCCUUUGUUUCAAUGUUGUUGUUGUUUUUCCUUUUUGGGUUUUUCUAGUUUGUGUUCUUUUUCUUGUUAGGACAAAAACUAGUAAAAGCCCUUUAUGUCCUUGUCUGAAAGUAGAAGGAACAUGGGGUUUGAUGAUAAUAAGGUAGAUAUGUCUGAGGGCAAUAAGGGAAUUGUUGUUGAUUCUGACAUUGAGAUUGAGAAUGGUAAUGGUGGUAAUGAGAAUAGGGUGAAUAGGCAAAUGAGUGAAAGUUCAAUGUAUACAACUGAUCAAGAAGAGGAUGAUGAUGAAGCUAAUAACAAGAUUGAGUUAGGUCCUCAAUGUACACUCAAAGAACAAUUUGAAAAGGAUAAGGUGUGUUGUGUUGUGUUGUGUUUUGUUAUUCUCUUUUUAAUGUUUUGAGUUUGAGUCUUCCUGGAUACAAAGUCGUCUUUGUUAGGGAGCGCUUUAGUUCCUCAUGUGAUUUGUUCGCGCGAAUUUAGAUUUAAUCGGGCCUCAAUGUGGAUACUGAACAUAGGAUGAGAAAAAUGUGCCCCCUAUUUGUUUUCUUGAAAGAUAAAAAAGAUUGCAUCUUUAGAGUGUCUUAGCUAGGGAGCGGUUUAGCCACGUGAGGGACUUCAUGGGGCAAUUUAGAUUUAGUCGGGCCUCAAUGCAGGUAUCACGUGAGAAAGAUUUCCCCUUUUGUUUUCUUGAAAGAUAAAAAAGAUUGCAUCUUUACAAUCAUAUUAGUUAAGGAGCGCUUUAGCUCCUCGUGUGCGCGAAUUUUGAUUUAAUUGGGCUUCGAUGUGGAUUUGGAUGAGAAAGAUUUCUCCUUUUUGUUCUCUUGAAAGAUAAAAAAAAGGUUGUAUCUUUAUAGUCGUCUUUGUUAGGGAGCGCUUUAGCCCCUUGUGGGACUUUCCAGCGCGAAUUUUGAUUUGUUCGAGGCCAAUGCGAGUACCGGACACCGGAUGAGAAAGAUUGUGUCUUUCUACCUUCUUAAUGUUUCUCUUGAAUGUGCUGUUUGUUUUGAUUCUUCCCUUUUUAAAAUUCUUGAAAUGAACAUAAAAAUGUUGUCUUUAUUCCUUUUUUAAUGUUUGUUUUUGUGCUUUUUUUUUUUUAAAUUUGAUUGAAUGUUUGCUUUUAGGAUGAUGAGAGUUUGAGAAGGUGGAAGGAGCAGCUCCUUGGAAGUGUGGAUAUCAAUGCUGUUGGAGGUAAUGACUUUUUUUUUUUUUUUUUUGUUUUAAAAUUUGCCGGGGGGCUAUCGGAAAAAACCAUGGGAAUACACUGGGUAUGUUGUUGUUCUUCAACAUUUGCAUUUGCAACUUUUUUGAAUUUGCGAUUUUGAUAUUUGAGGAAAGAGUUAAAAAAGGGCGGCCUGAUGGACCGCGCCGCGAAGGGUGUGUUGUAGGUAUCCUACCUGCUUGAUUCCACAGCUCGAACCCCUAUAGGAGACAACUUUACCGUUGCUCCAAUAUUUUCCUUCUUUUUGAGGAAAGAGUAAUAUACAUAUGCUCUCUCCGCACCAAAAUACGUAUCACUUUUCACUUCUCGAGAUUCAAACUACGCGAGCUGUGACCAAUAUUUUAAGAUGUAUUUUUCGUCAUGUUGAUAUGAGAAGAAUAACAACAUAUCCUAGUAGUUUAAGUAUACCAAAGAUUUUAAAUAGAAAUGUCUCGUCCUCACGAAAUGUCUGCUAGUUCUUAGAAGUUUCCAAAUGCGUCGUAAAAAAAGGGACCAGGAAAUUGUCUUGGAUCCUAAUUCACUGAAAUAUUUCUGUCGGAUUGAUCGGUUGGUUCUUGCAUAGGGUGGGAUCUUAAAUAGAAAUUGCUUCGGAUUGAUGGACCUCUACUGAUAGAUUCUGUUUUGCAUCAUCUGAGCUUUUCAAUCGAACUGAUUAGUUCGUAAACAGUUUGGCCGAAUCUUCCAGAAGAACAUUUUUCUUGCGUUCAAUUGUUUUCAUCUCGAGUAACUUCAGUGAUAAAGAAUAGAAAACUACUAAUAGACCACCUGAUAUGGACUGAUUAUUCAUGUGUAAUGUUGAUACUAUUCUCAAGGUCAUUGUACCGAAGUCCAGUUAUUUGUGUCAUAAGUCAUUUUACUUCAGUUAAGGUGAGCGAAUAGCUUCCUACGUUGCUCUCGUUUUCAAGAUAUGCUAACGCAAGGAACUCCAAAACUUCUUUAUUCAACUUCCCUCGAACCUUGAUUAGUAUAUUCAAUUUUUUGUGACCCAAUAUGGAGAAUCUUGAUGACCUUUCAAAUACAUGUGAAAAGCAUUUCUGUUUCUGCAAUGAAAACCAAUCGUUUGAUAUGAAUCUUGAAACUUGUCGUGAUUGAUCAAUGUAGAAUCCCUGGAUCCAGAAGUGAAGAUCUUGAGCCUUGCAAUUAAGUCGCCCGGUAGAUCUGAUAUCGUUCUCCCUAUCCCGGACGAUGGAAAUCCCAAGAGCCCAUGGUUUGUUCUGAAAGAAGGGAGCAAAUACAGCCUAAAAUUUACGUUCCAGGUCAACAAUAACAUAGUGACAGGUCUUAAAUACACAAACACAGUUUGGAAAACCGGUAUCAAAGGUACUAUCCGGCCCUUCAUAUUUCCAGUUCUAUAUGAAUAUGACAUUUUCUUUUAGGCCUAAUUAGUUUAUUCUUUACGCUUUUAAUUAACAUUUUCCCUUUCUGCGAACAUUAUUUCAGUGGACAGCACGAAACAGAUGAUUGGGGCGUUUAGUCCUCAGCUAGAGCCUUAUACACACGAAAUGCCAGAAGAGACCACCCCUUCUGGCAUUUUUGCAAGAGGAUCUUACUCGGCAAGGACAAAGGUGAUUUUUCUUUCUCUUUAAUGCCCUUGACAUAUUCUUCAUCUACCAUUCAACAAAAGUACUCAAAUCCGACAAUGCCAAUAACUGAAUUGUUAUCGUAUUUUCUUCAAUCAGAUAGACUGAAAGUGAGGUUGCGGUUCUUGCAUAUGGUCCCUUUAUCGUUUACAUGAGACCGCUUUUUGUUUCCUUUCAUUCUUCCAUCUUUUGUUUUCUACUAGUUUUAAGUUCUAUUAAAGAACCGGUACAUAGAAAUAGUACUAAAUGAAGGGGAGCCUUGUGCGACCUAUAUGUCAUGGGUUUGAGAGGUAGAACCAGCUAAUGAUGUUUGUGUCACAAUAGUCAACCAACUGAGCUACUAACAUUUUGCCAACGCGGGAUGCUUUCUACACCGGGCAACCCUUUUUUUUGGUCCUAGUAGACAACACGCAGCUAAAGAUUGCGCGUAAGCAUACCAAAUUAAGUCAUUUUUCUUGUUGUUUGCUUCCUCUGCAGUUUCUUGAUGACGAUAACAAGUGCUAUUUGGAGAUCAACUACACAUUCGAAAUCAAGAAAGAGUGGCAGGAAAAAUGAACAACAAACGGCGCCAUGACAUGAAUCGUUGCCCCCAUACUAAUUUUUCUUUUCGUUCUUCGUAAUUAUCUCAAUCUUUUUCCUGCUAGUUUUUUUCAGAAGAGAAAAAGGAAGGGGGAAAAGAGAGAAAAGUGAAAACAACUUGCUGCAAUUUACUAUAAGAUCAAAAGCUCUCUCUUUUUCGCCUUUCUCUCUAUCAAGUUUCAUGUGCAUAAAUGUGCUUUUUGAAUGUUGUAAAACUGUGAA
rnacentral:lncRNA from 1 species